UCCCUGGUGGUCCAGCAGCUAAGGAUCCCGCGCUCUCAAUGCCGUGGCCUGGGUUCGAUUCCUGGGCAGGGGA